GAAUCCCUCCCAGGACG
rnacentral:tRNA from 1 species